rnacentral:lncRNA from 1 species
ACGGGGUGAUCGGCAUGACAUCAAUGGAUAUGCCAGGCUGCAGGCUACAGUGCCGAGAAGGAGAAGACGGAGGCGGUGGUGAUGUCACCCAAGGAAUUAAGUAAGCAGGGGAGCUGAUAACAUCGUCCAGCCAGGCUCACUGUGGGCAGGGUGACUCACUGAAGACGGCCUGCGAUCGCCAGGUGAUUGUUGUUGUGCCCAGCCUGUGGGGCUGGGGAGGAGGAAGGGGGGCAGGCCACAGAGCUGUGACAAGUUCCUCACCGAGGCCCCUGCUCAGGGGAGAGACCUCAGUACACAGUGUCCUCCACCUCUGAGCCCGGGGCUGGCUCAGGAAACAGCCCCCCUCUGCCUGUGCGAUUAUCUUUGUCCACAGUGUUUGGUGUGUGUUUGUGGGGUGUGUCAGGUGAUUUUCCUGCCCGAAGCCUGCUGGGUGCUCCAGGUACUAGCGAUUGCUCACAGCAGAGCAGUAGCCCCCUCCCUG